AACUGGGAAUUCCACUGACAAGUAGACCAGCUCAAUAGAUCUCAUUUCUAUCUUAUGUUAUCCUACUUGAUGUGUAAGGGUUGAAUCCUUUCUCCUAUAUAAAGAGAAGAGCCAAGCCACUAAUGGUUGAAUUAGUUUCAUCCCAUCCCGGUUGUACUGGCUUCAUUCUUAUACUUACUAGUUCCAUCCCUAGUUCAAUUCUGAGUCUUACUAGUUUCAUGCUAACUUUCCUACUUGUGAGUUGAAUCCCUAGCUGCGGAAGUGGAAUCUGUCACAAAGUAGAAUUGAACUUCCACCGAUGAUCCUGAUCUGACCUCUGUUAAGGGGAAUGCGCUAGUGAGUUACGGCCGGAAGGUAUCAAACAAAAGAAAAGAAGGGUUUAUAGGCCUUAUACAACCACCGAUAAGUACUCUAGGCAACUGGCAACUAUUCUGAAUUUCUUAAGGGCAUGCUCCAUAAAGUCGUAGUCAUUUCAACCCCCUUCCCUGACUUUAUCAUUAGUAUUGACUGACCGGCCCUUCCUCUCGCAAACACAGCAAUUUCAUCCCUGGCUUUUGCAUAUAUGGUAGAGAAUUUGGUAAAGUAGAACGAGUCACCAACCAACACUGUAAACUCUGUUGUCGUUUCGUUCCAUGUCUUUUAUUCGGGUUGCCAUGAGCAAGUCCUAUGUUCUGACUAUUUCUGCUUUCGUCAUGGCGGUAGGGCUGCUCUCCCACUACGAUAAUACCUAAUCCACCAUUCUGGUACCAACCAACUAGAGCUCCCACUAGAUUAUUUCCCCAACUCGU
rnacentral:lncRNA from 1 species